rnacentral:rRNA from 1 species
UACGGAGGGAGCUAGCGUUGUUCGGAAUUACUGGGCGUAAAGCGCACGUAGGCGGCUUUUUAAGUCAGGGUGAAAUACCCCGACGGCUCAACCUCGGAACUGCCCUUGAAACUGGGAAGCUAGAAUCUUGGAGAGGCGAGUGGAAUUCCGAGUGUAGAGGUGAAAUUCGUAGAUAUUCGGAAGAACACCAGUGGCGAAGGCGACUCGCUGGACAAGUAUUGACGCUGAGGUGCGAAAGCGUGGGGAGCAAACAGGAUUAGAUACCCGGGUAGU